rnacentral:rRNA from 1 species
CCGGAGGGAGGUGGGGAUGACGUCAAGUCCUCAUGGCCUUAUGCUUAGGGCUACACACGUGCUACAAUGGGUGGUACAAAGAGAAGCCAACUCGCGAGAGCGCGCCAAUCUCAAAAAGCCAUCCUCAGUUCGGAUUGGAGUCUGCAACUCGACUCCAUGAAGUUGGAAUCGCUAGUAAUCGCGGAUCAGCAUGCCGCGGUGAAUACGGUUCCCGGGCCUU